UAUAGCAUGUUCGUAUGAUGCUUAAAUGUAAUUGUUAGUAGAUGAUGAUUUGAUAUCUUUGCAUUUUAAACUUUACGAUUUAGUGGGUUAUAAGGAUGGACUAUACAGUUAUAUAGGAUAUUAUAAAAAAUGAUGGAGAGAUAUUUUGAAAUAUUAUCUGAAUUAUGUGGGAUGAUUUAACAUGCUUGCAUUUUAAAUCUUUAAAAUUUAAUAAAUUACAAAAUUAUAGAUAAUAUAACAUGCUUGUAUGAUGCUUAAAUGUAAUUAUUAGUAUAUAAUGAUGUGACAUCUUUACAUGUUAAACUUUAUGAUUUAGUGGGUUAUAAGGAUGAACUAUAUAGUUAUAUAGGAUAUUAUAAAAAAUGAUGGAGAGAUAUAUUGAAAUAUUGUGUGAAUUAUGUGGGAUGAUUUAACCUGCUUGCAUUUGAAAUCUCUAAAAUUUAAUAAAUUAUAAAAUUAUAGAUAAUAUAGCUUGCUUGUAUGAUGCUUAAAUGUAAUUGUUAGUAGAUGAUGAUGUAAUAUCUUUGCAUGUUAAACUUUAGAAUUUAGUGGGUUAUAAGGAUGGACUGUAUAGUUAUAUAGGAUGUUAUAAAACAUGAUGGAGAGAUAUAUUGAAAUAUUAUCUGAAUUAUGUGGGAUGAUUUAACAUGCUUGCAUUUUAAAUCUGUAAAAAUUAAUAAAUUAUAAAAUUAUAGAUAAUAUAGCAUGCUCAUAUGAUGCUUAAAUGUAAUUGUUAGUAGAUGAUAAUGUAACAUAUUUGCAUGUUAAACUUUAAACCCUCCAUCUAUUUUUGAUAGGCAUAUUUCCAAAUCUGAAAAAUUUCUAAAUCUGCAAAAUUUAUUUUUGAUACGCAUAUUUCAAUCCUACCACCUAUCAUCUUAAUGAAUAAUGACUUUCUCGGAUUUAAUGCGUGACUCUCCAUUCUUCUACACAAGAUUGGCUAUAUGGGCAUCGAGAAAUGUAAAUACUUCCUCCAUUUUUUGGAAAUGAUAUAGUUAAAUUUUAAACACAUACUUAAUUAUUCAUCUUCUUUAAUUUUUUUUUUGCAAAUGUAGAACACUACUAAAAAUUCAUUUUCGCAGACAAGGCCCUUUCAUUUUUCCAGUCGGAUACUUUUUUGGAACCACACGUCUGCCUGGGAAAUCGAAAAUAGGGGUUGAGAUGCUCAUCGGAUUACGAAGAGAUAAAUUAUGCUUGAAGUACUUUGAGUGAUAACAAAAUUAAUUUUAAUUUUUUUAAUAAGAUGAACGUGUGACAAAAAAAUCAACUGUGUUAUAUAUUAAAGGCUCUUUUUAACUUAUGGUACUGGCCAUCUUUAUUUCUUCCUAAUGAUGAGAUGAAUAUAAUGUACGUAUUAUCGUAGUAUUGUCAUCUUCUAACCCAGCAGCCGAAUCGACGUUUAUUUUUUCAUACGAUAUAUAUACCGUUCGUAUAAGGUUCAAUCAUUCUUAACUCAUGUUUACUGUGUUAUGAGAUACUAUGAUUAUCUUUUGUUACACUACUACAUACACGGUUAUAGGUACCCGUUUUAAUGGGGUUGUAAGUACCGGCACAAAUUAUUCGGUACCUUCGGGGUUGCACAAUUUUUUUUUAAUUUUGCAGAUGCUAAAAUAUCGAAAAAAUAUUUGAUAUUUUUAUUAGCAACCUAUACGAUCGUACUCUUUUUCCCACAAGUCACACGAUUUUUUUAACUCAUAUUCAUGUAUAUAUGUGUCAAGUAAGAUUGCAACUCAAAACCUUUCCCUUGAACCAAAGCCUCACCAUCUCACUGACAAGCAUUUGUUGUCUUGGAAACAAAUGUUAUUCUUUUGAAAUUAUUGUCAUCCGAAAUUAUAAUUCAUAUUUAACACCAAAGAGAGCUCAAAUAAAAAGUUUGUCAACUAAAACAACGUAGAUAUAAUUUAUAUAGGUUUUGUCUCCAUCCAAUAUCGUUCAAAAAUUUUAAAUAUCCACCUAUGCAAAUAGAUCUGAGAUCUUGCAACAUAUUUUCAGACAUCCAAACGACCUUAAAUCCAAAGUGAUUAACUAGAAAGUUGUAGAUCUUGUCGAGCUCUAGAAAUUUGACAUAAAAUUUAUCUUCACCCGACUUCCAUAUGAAAAAGUUCGAUAAAAAACAUGCGUAUAUAAGUUGCGUUAUUAUCGGUACUGGUUUUAAUUGUAAACCUGUACCUAUGGACUCAUAGGUGCUAGUUUUUAUUGAAAACCGGCACAUAUGUGAUGCUCCUAUGUGUCGGUUUAUGAUAAAAACCAGUACCAAUGGUAUCACAUUUAUAGGUGCCGGUUUAUUAUAAGAGCCGGUACUUAUGUAUGACCUUGUCUACCAGUUUGUUAUAAGAACUGACACUAAUAAUUUCGGAGGAUUAUGGUGCUGGUUUUUAAAACAAACUGGGUACCGAUGAGUGGUUAUAGGUAACUGUUCUUAACUUUACAUUGGAAAAAUAUAGAAGAAGCUUCGUAGGUGUCAGCUGGUCGGCCUCUACAUGGUAUUUUGCAAUAGUGUUAAUUAAUUUGCACUUUUUUUUACAUAGCAGAAGGCACAAGGAUGACAUACAGACGUUCCAGUAAACAAGGCACAUCUGCCGCUGGAUCGCAACAACCGUCUGUCAGCGAACCACCCGCUGAUCGGAGAAUGAUAUGGAGCAAGCAAUCCAGGCGGUAAACACAAUCGCGUACUUCCCCGGCCCAUGAUAAAUACAUAGCGCGUGAGCAGCGGAAGCAUGCAUAGAAGAUAUUCAUCGGAUCGAAGAUGGCGUUCAGCUAUAUUGUAAUAAGGAACAUAUAAGAAUCCAGCCAUACUUCCCGGCGCACCAUCUCAUACAUGUGUGUAUAGCAUACGUACGUGCGCGCGUAUAAAUAUCCAUACACAACCACAUUGCCGGUGUGGCAGGUAAUCACUAGUUCGUAUACUCGUACACAUGUACUCGUGGGCGUACGCACUAUACUAUUAAAUGUAUAUGCAAUACUGUUAAAUGUAUGAGUUGCAAUGUAAGCAGUGCUUGUAUUAUCAUCUAUAGUUAUUUGUGUACUCGGGCAGUUUAAUACAAGCACUGCUAUUUAUGAUAAUACAGAAAUAAUAAAAUACAAAAGUUUAUUACAA